CGCGUCGAGACAACAUGCCAUGACUGAGGAAGGGGAGCCCCGAUACAGAGUGAAGGUAUCAAAAAUUUACAAGCAGGAGCAUGUUGCACUGCCCAUCAAAGAAGAACCAACGUUUCGUUACUUUGACGAGCUUGUAGACAAAUGUGUACAGCUGUGCAACACGUGGGACACAUUCAAUGGUGCUUUUGAGGCAUACUCAUGUAAUGAUCCACCAUUCCUGACAGAGACUAACCCUGCACCCCCAAAAACAGAAGUGAUUUCAGCACGGCAACAUCGACUGGGACCUUGCAGCUGCCUUCAGUGUACUCUCAAGGCCUAAAACCAGUGUAGCUGCCUGAGGGUGAUGGGAAGUUGUUCCGUAUCGCCAUCACCACACAUGACGGGAGCACCCGCCUGUCUUCUUCCGGAAGUGGUCCCCAUAUCCAUGAUGCAAAAUUGCGAUAUGCUAUGUGGCGCCAUAUUCUGAAAAACAACAAAGUGCACUGUCAGCUGUGAAAUGCCCACAAUUGCAUACUUACUUUACGUUGCUAGUGAACAUGUCAAAGAAUGGACAGAAAAUAGGAACAGUGAUUUUAUCUGUUACUGUAAGUGAUGU